GUGAGGAAUAUUGGUCAAUGGGCGCAAGCCUGAACCAGCCAUGCCGCGUGCAGGAAGACGGUCCUAUGGAUUGUAAACUGCUUUUAUUUGGGAAUAAACUCCGGUACGUGUACCGGCCUGAAGGUACCAAAUGAAUAAGCACCGGCUAACUCCGUGCCAGCAGCCGCGGUAAUACGGAGGGUGCAAGCGUUAUCCGGAAUCAUUGGGUUUAAAGGGUCCGCAGGCGGUCUUAUAAGUCAGUGGUGAAAGCCUACAGCUCAACUGUAGAACUGCCAUUGAUACUGUAGGACUUGAAUUCGAUCGAAGUGGGCGGAAUGUGACAUGUAGCGGUGAAAUGCUUAGAUAUGUCACAGAACACCGAUAGCGAAGGCAGCUCACUAGGUCUGGAUUGACGCUCAGGGACGAAAGCGUGGGGAGCAAACAGGAUUAGAAACCCUUGUAGUCC
rnacentral:rRNA from 1 species